AUUGAACGCUGGCGGCAGGCCUAACACAUGCAAGUCGAGCGAGCGGCGGACGGGUGAGUAAUGUCUGGGAAACUGCCCGAUAGAGGGGGAUAACUACUGGAAACGGUAGCUAAUACCGCAUACUAUCAGAUGAACCCAUAUGGGAUUAGCUAGUUGGUGGGGUAACGGCUCACCUAGGCGACGAUCCCUAGCUGGUCUGAGAGGAUGACCAGCCACACUGGAACUGAGACACGGCCCAGACUCCUACGGGAGGCAGCAGUGGGGAAUAUUGCACAAUGGGCGCAAGCCUGAUGCAGCCAUGCCGCGUGUAUGAAGAAGGCCUUAGGGUUGUAAAGUACUUUCAGCGGGGAGGCGUUACCCGCAGAAGAAGCACCGGCUAACUCCGUGCCAGCAGCCGCGGUAAUUC
rnacentral:rRNA from 1 species